UCGCCAGGGAACUACGAGCAAAGCUUAAAACCCAAAGGACUUGACGGUACCCCAUAUCCCCCUAGAGGAGCCUGUCCUAUCAUCGAUACUCCACGUUUAACCUCACCAUUUCUAGUCUAUCAGCCUGUAUACCUCCGUCGUCAGCUUACCGCAUGAGCGACCCCCAGUGAGCUUAAUGGCGUUACACCAAUACGUCAGGUCAAGGUGCAGCAAAUGAAAUGGGAAGAGAUGGGCUACACUUUCUAAAUUAGAAAAAACGAAAGACUUUAUGAAACCUAGUCGGAAGGCGGAUUUAGAAGUAAGGGGAAAUCAGAAUGUCCCCNUUAACUUGCACUGGGGUNUGU
rnacentral:rRNA from 1 species